GGUGAGUUGGCCGAGUGGUUAAGGCGGUGGCCUUAAGAUCCACUGACGAAAGGUCGCAUGGGUUCGAACCCCAUACUCACCA